GACGAACGCUGGCGGCGUGCUUAACACAUGCAAGUCGAACGGAAAGGCCCUGCUUUUGUGGGGUGCUCGAGUGGCGAACGGGUGAGUAACACGUGAGUAACCUGCCCUUGACUUUGGGAUAACUUCAGGAAACUGGGGCUAAUACCGGAUAGGAGCUCCUGCUGCAUGGUGGGGGUUGGAAAGUUUCGGCGGUUGGGGAUGGACUCGCGGCUUAUCAGCUUGUUGGUGGGGUAGUGGCUUACCAAGGCUUUGACGGGUAGCCGGCCUGAGAGGGUGACCGACCACAUUGGGACUGAAAUACGACCCAGACUCCUACGGGAGGCAGCAGUAGGGAAUAUUGCACAAAGGGCGGAAGCCUGAUGCAGCAACGCCGCGUGCGGGAUGACGGCCUUCGGGUUGUAAACCGCUUUCGCCUGUGACGAAGCGUGAGUGACGGUAAUGGGUAAAGAAGCACCGGCUAACUACGUG
rnacentral:rRNA from 1 species